UCCGUAGAGGAUGGUUCUUCAGAGCUGGAAUUAUUUGGCUCGGUUGAACUUUCCGGAGAAGGUUCCGUGGAUGAGGGUUCCGUGGAGGAUGGUACUUCAGAACUGGAAUUAUUUGGCUCCGUUGAGCUCUCCGGAGAUGGCUCCGUGGAGGAUGGUACUUCAGAACUGGAAUUAUUUGGCUCCGUUGAGCUCUCCGGAGAUGGCUCUGUGGAGGAUGGAUCUUCAGAGCUGGAAUUAUUUGGCUCCGUUGAACUUUCCGGAGAUGGCUC